AGAGCAAAGAAAUAAGGAAUAAAAACCUUGAAGGGGGUGGUGAGGAUGAUGAUGAUUGAUAGGGUAAUGAGAAUCUCCAUAGGAGAAUGAAAACAAGGUUGAUGAAAUGAUGAGAAAGUAAAAGAGAGUCAAAAGAGGAAAAUGGAAAUUAGGGUUUGAUUUCAAAUGAAGCAUGAUUUGGUAAUGGGUUUAAUCCUCUGAGAAUUAAUUGAGAGAAGAAGGGUUUAUAAUUAUAUGUAAUAUUGCAUGCAUAUUUGUUCGUGGAGGAUGGUUAUCUGUACGGAAUAUCUUUUCCCCCAAAACC
rnacentral:lncRNA from 1 species